rnacentral:rRNA from 1 species
UACGAACUGUGCAAACGUUAUUCGGAAUCACUGGGCUUAAAGGGUGCGUAGGCGGUCAUUUAAGUAGGGUGUGAAAGUCAAAGGCUCAACCCUCGAAUGCCGGUGGAUACUGUCGGGCUAGAGUCCGGAAGAGGAGAAUGGAAUUCCUGGUGUAGCGGUGAAAUGCGCAGAUAUCAGGAAGAACACCGAUGGCGAAGGCAGUUCUCUGGGACGGUACUGACGCUGAGACGCGAAAGCGUGGGGAGCAAACAGG